UGACAGCUGCAGCAAGAC
rnacentral:misc_RNA from 1 species